GCCCUCGCGCCCUCGCGCCCUCGUGCCGGGGGCGGGCUCGCUGCGCGUGCCGGGCGGGGAAGCGGCGCGAGCCGGUCGCUGAGAACGUUCGCCGCGGGGGCGGCUCCAGGGCCUGAGCGGGCGCUGCUGCCGCCUCAGCCGCGGGCGCCUGGCCGGAGGAGGCUGCGAUCGCCGUAGACCUUCUCGGCGCCCCCCGCUCCGGCCGGGAAGAUGAUUGAAGAAAGCGGGAAUAAGCGGAAGACCAUGGUGGAGAAGAGGCAGCUGUUCCUAGAAAUGCGUGCUCAGAAUUUUGAUGUCAUACGACUAUCAACUUAUAGAACUGCUUGCAAAUUACGAUUUGUACAAAAACGAUGCAACCUUUGUUUUCUUUGUGUUUUAGUCCAUCUUGUUGAUAUCUGGAACAUGAUUGAAGCCUUCAGAGACAACGGCCUUAAUACACUGGACCAUAGCACUGAGAUCAGUGUGUCCCGCCUCGAAACCGUCAUCUCAUCCAUUUACUACCAGCUGAACAAGCGCCUGCCUUCUACUCACCAAAUCAGUGUGGAACAGUCCAUCAGCCUCCUCCUUAACUUUAUGAUUGCUGCUUACGACGGUGAGGGCCGAGGCAAGUUGACCGUAUUUUCAGUUAAAGCUAUGUUAGCAACCAUGUGUGGUGGAAAAAUGCUGGACAAAUUGAGAUAUGUUUUCUCCCAGAUGUCAGAUUCCAAUGGCUUAAUGAUAUUUAGCAAGUUUGACCAGUUUCUGAAGGAAGUUCUGAAGCUCCCAACAGCUGUCUUUGAAGGGCCAUCUUUUGGUUACACAGAGCACUCAGUCCGCACCUGUUUUCCACAGCAGAAGAAGAUAAUGCUAAAUAUGUUUUUAGACACAAUGAUGGCCGACCCUCCUCCCCAGUGCCUUGUCUGGCUACCUCUCAUGCACAGGCUUGCCCAUGUUGAGAAUGUCUUCCAUCCUGUGGAGUGUUCCUAUUGCCGGUGUGAGAGUAUGAUGGGUUUCCGGUACCGAUGCCAGCAGUGCCACAACUACCAGCUCUGCCAAAACUGCUUUUGGCGUGGUCAUGCAAGUGGCCCUCACAGCAACCAACAUCAGAUGAAGGAGCAUUCCUCUUGGAAAUCCCCUGCAAAGAAGCUGAGCCAUGCAAUUAGUAAAUCUUUGGGGUGCGUGCCCACCAGAGAACCCCCGCAUCCAGUUUUCCCUGAGCAACCAGAGAAACCACUUGACCUUGCAAAUAUAGUUCCUCCUCGCCCUCUGACUAACAUGAAUGACACAAUGGUGAGCCACAUGUCCUCCGGCGUGCCCACUCCCACCAAGAGGUUGCAGUAUAGCCAGGACAUGCCCAGUCACUUGGCCGAUGAGCAUGCACUGAUUGCCUCCUAUGUGGCCCGUCUGCAGCACUGUGCACGUGUCCUGGACAGUCCUAGCCGCCUGGAUGAGGAACACCGGCUUAUAGCUCGCUAUGCUGCACGGCUGGCUGCAGAGGCAGGAAACAUGACCCGUCCGGACCUGAGCUUUAACUUCGAUGCCAACAAACAACAAAGACAGCUUAUCGCAGAACUGGAAAACAAAAACAGAGAGAUCCUGCAGGAGAUUCAGCGCCUCCGUCUGGAGCAUGAGCAGGCAUCCCAGCCCACCCCCGAGAAGGCCCAGCAGAACCCCACGUUGCUGGCAGAGCUGCGGCUGCUGAGGCAAAGGAAAGAUGAACUGGAGCAGAGAAUGUCAGCACUGCAGGAGAGCAGACGGGAGCUAAUGGUUCAACUGGAAGGGCUAAUGAAGCUACUGAAGGAGGAGGAGCAAAAGCAGGCAGCUCAGGCCACAGGAUCGCCACAUACAUCACCCACUCGUGGAGGCAGCCACCCGAUGCCCAUGCCCAUGCGCUCCACAUCCGCUGGCUCCACGCCCACUCACUGUCCGCAGGACCCACUGAGCGGCGUCGGGGGGGACAUGCAGGAGGCCUUUGCACAAGGUACGAGGAGAAACCUCCGCAAUGACCUGCUGGUGGCUGCUGACUCCAUCACCAACACCAUGUCAUCCCUGGUGAAGGAGCUCCACUCAGGAACACACUGGAUGUCUUCACCCAGAGCGCCCUCUCCCACGCGCGAUCACAUAGAGAUCCUUCCACAGUUCGGUUUCUCUUAAGAGUACACCUUGUGGAGCAAACACCACUCAGCAUUUAAAGAGAUUCCGAUCUCUCAGCACAGCGAGGCCCCCUGCUCACUUAAUGUGUCUUCCCCCUGUGCCCCACCCAGCUGCUCUCUCCCCAGGCCUGACCGACCAGCUCGCUCUGGACUUUUCCUGGAUGACUGCAACCGAAGCAGCCACAAAAGCUCCUGGACUUUCUCCCAGCUGCCUUUCUGCUCUCUCCUGUUUGAUUUGGUCUUGAAACCCUAUUCUCUCCUUUUGUCCAUGACUAGGCUCUGAUUUCACCUGAAGUUCAUGACCUGUGUCUGUUGCUUCCUUCCCUCCUCCUGUUCAGCCUCAUCUAUGACUCCUUUCUCAGUCUCGCCUUCACAUAGCUCUUUCAGCGAUUUUCCCAGAGGCCCUUACCUCAUUGCAUUUCCCCCCUUCUAUAAAACCUAAGAAAGAGAGAAAAAAAUUAAAGGCCAUUUCCAUAUCAUCAUGUCGUAUUAAGAAUCCCUGUGACUCCAUCCAUUUUGUAGCUGCCAGAUAUGUACUAAUUUUUCCCCCCCCAGUGGUCAGAUUCCCACGUUAACAUAUUAAAACACGUGGGUUCCUUUCCUACGUGCUAUAGGUCAUUCAUACAGACGGCCCCUGUUUGUUUCUUUUCACUUAAUGUAGUGCUUUUAAAUGCCUUGAAGUAGCUUAACAAGAUUAUUAAAUAAAAAUAUAAAUCAAUUUUUCCAUGAACUAUUCAAACACAUACAUUCAAAUCGUCAGUCCCUGCUCCUAGGGAAGGCAAGCCUUGGGUCGCUCUGCGGACCACCGUGGGAUGAAGCACACACCUGUAGUGUUGUCACGGGACCAGAUCAGGCUCUGGCUCGUGGCUUUGCUGUCAGAUCUGCCUGUUUUCAUUUAGAAGGGAAAAAGUGUGAGGCCUGGGUUCGUUUUUCCAAUACAUUUAAGAUGCCGAUUGUCCUGUGCAGGGAGUGUUAUGGUGACACUGUCCCCAUUUCGGUACCAUUUCUUAGUCCCCUUCAUAAGCACUGCCCCCUCCAUACACACAGAAGAGUUGACUGCCUUCGAGGUGACUUCACAACUGAUUAGAAAGUGCCUUCCCUAAUACAGCUCCUCACAGAUGCCAGAAAUCCCACAUUUAGAGGGACUUUCUUAGGGGAUUUCAGGUCAUGGAAUUAACCACACUGGUGCCUCGUGGCCACUUACUAGGGUUUAUGCAAAAUAAGUGGCUCAUGAAGUCAUCACACUAGGAUGAGAGCUAACUGGACAUCAUUAACACAAAGUGCAGACCAAAUAGCUUCACAAAAACUACAAGUUUAGGGAGAUCCUUGGCAAUCUCUCAUAGUAAGAAAGGAUGGGUUUUUAAAAAUCAGCAUGAUGUAUUGGGAAGGCACCUUAGAGACCACAUUGUCCGGUUCCCUUACUUUAGAAAUGCAGUGAGUGAUUACCAGAAACGUGAUUUGCCUAAAGCUGUGUAGCUCGAAGGGGCAAAACUGGCCCUACAAUUUCGGUCUUAGGAACAUUAAGCUGACGCCCUUACACUCAUCCCCACAUAGGACAAGAUUCAAAUCUGCAGUACCAGGAGGGCCCCUUUCACUCAUGCUCUACUCUCAAGCGCUGAAGUCCAUAAGUAGGCGUGGACUAAGGCCACACAUGGCACAGUAUCUCUAUAAAAUGCAGAAAUAAGCUCCCUUUCCACGUGAGCACGCCAGUUUCUCAGUGAAUGAAAGAGCCUUAACCCAACACCAACACAUUACUCUCUCUGUGGAGGUUUCUGUUGGGAUGAGAUUAGAUAUUCAAAUUAUCUUUACAUAUAUUCUAUACAGUAUGGACAUACCACUUAUAACCCUAGCUUGCCCUCCUCUUUGAAAUAUUUUCACAAAUAAUGGACUCAUAGAGUUGGGUAGGGUCUUAGAAGUCCUUUACUCCAGCUUGCCUCCCGAUAUAAAAGUCCUCUGGUUGAAGACUCCUGGUGAGCUCAUUCAUUGGGAAGGUCUCCCUUAUCAGGGAGCUGCAAUCUGCCUUCCUGUAACCAGUUGAUCCUCAUUCAACCCUCUAAAGCUACACAGAGUAAGUUCAAUCCUCCUCUUUAUGUUGCCUUUCAAGUAUUUGAUGGCAAACAGCAUGGCUCUCCCUCAGCCUUCUCCUCUUUAGGCAACUCUUUGCAGUGUCUUCAGCCAUUCCUAAUGGGAUGUGGUUUUCAGUUUACCAUCCUGCUUGCCCACACCGGGAUGCAGCCGAGUGUUUCAAAGCCCCAACUCAAACAGAGGAAGGUGCAGAGGAAGAAGAAGAGAAGAUGCAGAAUGGGAAA